AGCCUGCACAUUAACUCUUCUCUUUCAUGUCUGAGACAAGAAGUGUGCCUUCAUUUGGGAAAUUCCUUUAUUAGUCAAGUGCAUUGAAUGUAACCAUUGACUCUUUGUUCUUAUGCAUAUAAAAACCCUGGUGAGGAUGCACUCGGGAUCGAUUCCUCGGCAGUCGCUGACUGUCACUUUAGAGGUUUCGGUCCUUUUGCGCAAAAGCUAAAUAAAUAUACAAAGA